UACGAAGGGGGCGAGCGUUGUUCGGAAUUACUGGGCGUAAAGGGCGCGCAGGCGGCCUUAGAAGUCAGAUGUGAAAGCCCCGGGCUCAACCUGGGAAUGGCAUUUGAUACUCUGAGGCUGGAGUACGGGAGAGGAGAGUGGAAUUCCCAGUGUAGAGGUGAAAUUCGUAGAUAUUCGGAAGAACACCAGUGGCGAAGGCGGCUCACUGGACUGGUAGUGACGCUGAGGUGCGAAAGCGUGGGGAGCAAACAGG
rnacentral:rRNA from 1 species